rnacentral:lncRNA from 1 species
GUAAUUGUCGAUCUCCGUGCUCUCUAUGCAUAUGUAGUUCAUACCCCAGGGUUCCAGCGAGUCAGUGAACUGGUUUGUUGCACUCAAUAACUUCACGGAAUGCCAGAGUUGAUUUGUUUUGGAGCAGAGGAGGGGAAUAGAGGCCAGCUCUGGAAACAGAGCUGUGUUCCCAUGGUCCCAAAGAAAAAACUUGCCCUAAAUUUUAGGUGACAUUGAGGAAGGGACCAGACAACUCAUGUGCUGGUCACACACCAAACCCCACCUGGGGCCUCCACUCAGCAUCCUUGGGGAAUUCUGGGCCCCUUGACCCUUCAGCAGAUUGCUGAGAUCAGAUAGUGUGCUGGGAUGCAGGGAUGGGAGCCUGUGAUAUGUAUGGAGACCACUCUGGGUUUGUGCUACAGAAAGACGAAGCUGGCGAAGCAGGAUGCAGGUAGAUGGCUUCUCUUUCUGCAGCUCUGUGUCUCAUCUCUGCAAUGGGAAGGAAGAGUCCUUCCUGGGGCCCCGGAGCACACCUGCCUCAGCACCCGUCUUGAGCAGGGCUCUUCUGAGGCUGAGUCCUGGAUGAAUAGUCUAGGGCAAGAGGAUCAAAGAUACUCCAGGGUAACUGGGCUCAAGGGGGCCGACUGAUGCUAACUCACAAGAGUUAAGAAUUGCCCUGGAACAAUUUACAGAGCAGCGGUUCCUUUUCCGUGGAUGGAGACUUCUCUCUGCUCCUUGGAGCUCCUUCUUGUUCCAGGAUGAUAUGGAAAGUGAUUCAUCAGGCCCAAGGUGAGCGUGGACUGGGAGCUAGUGGAAGCCAGGAUACCUUGAGACCCUAUGAACCAAUCAUCUCUCAUUACUGUCACAAAUGCCUCUCUAGAGCCUGGAAUACUCAUGGGCGUCUGUGUCUCUCCCUUUCAGCCCAUGCUGGAUAAACCUCAACAACCGCUUGCUUCUGGGGCUCCUGCCACCCAUAGACCUUGCCCUGAGCUUGUGCUUCAGAGAGCCCCAGUCCAGCCCUCCUCCUGUGUGUGACUUUAAAAAACAAAAUAUGUACAUGCAUGGCUGAUUCAUGUCAAUAUAUAGCAAAAACCACUAUAAUAUUAUAAAGUAACUAGCCUCCAAUUAAAAUAAAUAA